rnacentral:rRNA from 1 species
UACGAAGGUGGCGAGCGUUGUUCGGAUUCACUGGGCAUAAAGGGCGCGUAGGCGGUUCCGCAAGCAGCGUGUGAAAUCCCACGGCUUAACCGUGGAACAGCGCGCUGGACUGCGGUUCUAGAGGACCGGAGGGGGGUAUGGAACUCUCGGUGUAGCGGUGAAAUGCGUAGAUAUCAAGAGGAACACCGAAGGCGAAGGCAGCUCUCUGGGCCGUUUCUGACGCUGAGGUGCGAAAGCCAGGGUAGCGAACGGG